GAGUUUGAUCAUGGCUCAGGACAAACGCUGGCGGCGUGCAUAACACAUGCAAGUCGAACGAAAUCUACAUGAUUUAGUGGCGAACGGGUGAGUAACACGUGAGAAACCUGCCUUACACAGAGGGAUAGCCGUUGGAAACGACGAUUAAUACCUCAUGACACCGUGACAUCGCAUGAUGAUGCGGUCAAAGAUUUAUCGGUGUAAGAUGGUCUCGCGCCUGAUUAGCUGGUUGGUGGGGUAACGGCCUACCAAGGCGACGAUCAGUAGCCGAUCUGAGAGGGUGGACGGCCACAUUGGGACUGAGACACGGCCCAAACUCCUACGGGAGGCAGCAGUGGGGAAUUUUGCACAAUGGGGGAAACCCUGAUGCAGCGACGCCGCGUGAACGAAGAAGGCCUUCGGGUUGUAAAGUUCUGUCCUUGG
rnacentral:rRNA from 1 species